ensembl:lncRNA
UUUUGAUAGUGUCUCUCAAAUUUCGUGGGUUGUUGUCGCUUCUCUAGCGAGCAGCAUCAUUAGCUAUGUGUUACCUUUGUAAUAAGCCAGCUAGAUGACGUUGGCCCCGGUGUUACACCGAAUUCUGCGACCCGCCGAAAUCUGUGACCCCAGGGGGCGCUGUUGCACAUUUUCUGCAACAUGCGCGAGGUUGAAGUGUAGCAGGGUUAAUGCUUCCCACUUGCCAUUGCCAGCGAGAUCCUUGCGCUGGCUGUGGUAGUGGGAGCCUUGGUUGGAGUGCUAGAGCUCCCCCUAGCGGAAUGCGGGGGUUGUAUUGUACGUUGCUGCCUCCUCUCCUCAGUCUACGUAUACCCCGGCUGGGAGAGGUAGGUAGUCAGAGCAGUUAAAUAUGAAUCCACACUUUGGCGAUGUAUUACGGGAGUCUAAAUGUACAUAAUACUGUAUUAAUACUUGGUUGCUUGUACAUAUAUAUAUUGUGUUCCUUGGAAUCGGUAAUUACAUUUAAAUGGACUUUAGGCUUAGGAUCGCUAGCUUGGCUACCAUGUGCUUUGGUCGUAGCUACUUAGCUAGGCUGGACUUCGCCAAGAAUGUGUACUUCAGCUUGUCUUUCUCUCAUGUUAGGCUGCCAUUGUGAGGGUUCUCAAAGAGCAUUUCCCGUGUUAAAUAUUCCACCAGAAUAAACGGCUGGCUGCCAAUGGUUCCAUCGUGGUCUCAAUCACAACGCAACGAGAGAGUACGCAACCGCUACAAAUGGUGCCGUGACCCGUUCUUCUCUGCCUGUCUGCUGCGUCAUUGAGGAUCGCCAUUCAACACGUGGCACGCUGCCAUUGUGAGGGUUCUCAAAGAGCAUUUCCCGUGUUAAAUAUUCCACCAGGUAUGUCACCAAACGCCCAUUCAAAUAUUAAUUUGUUUAAUGUGAUAUUUAUUUCCAUGUAAAUGGUCAGUCUACGUAUACCCCGGCUGGGAGAGGCUGCCAUUGUGAGGGUUCUCAAAGAGCAUUUCCCGUGUUAAAUAUUCCACCAGAAUAAACGGCUGGCUGCCAAUGGUUCCAUCGUGGUCUCAAUCA